UAACAGUGAGUUUUUUAUCUUUAGGUAAUUUAUGUUAGCUCAUUAAUAUCUUUUUUUUUUUCUUCAGAUUGAAGAACUCCCUCUAGCAACUCUUGAAGUACAGGUGAGCUGGCACUGAAGCUACAAGACAAUGUCUUUUCCACUAUUCCCUUUCCUUUCCACAAGCAGAGGAGUCUUUUCCCCUGGCCACCACUGCCCAAGGCUUUCAGAAGUUCUUCAGGGGCAUUAACACUCAUGGAACUGUCAUCUCCUAUGACCAACAAUGCCUUCUUCUGGAACACCUUCUGAAGGAUUUCCCUGAGGCUGUUUUACAGUUAAUCAUUUUUGUUUAAAUUUUAAAUAAGCAGGAGUACAAUCAAAAUAAUAAUAAAAAGUAUAGUAUGGUAAAUGCA
rnacentral:lncRNA from 13 species